rnacentral:rRNA from 1 species
UAGUCCACGCCGUAAACGAUGUCAACUAGCCGUUGGGGGGUUACCCUCUGAGUACCGGAGCUCACGCAUUAAGUAUCCCGCCUGGGGAGUACGGUCGCAAGGCUAAAACUCAAAGGAAUUGACGGGGGCCCGCACAAGCGGUGGAGUAUGUGGUUUAAUUCGAAGCAACGCGCAGAACCUUACCUAGGCUUGACAUUCUUCGACAACCCCAGAGAUGGGGCUUCUCCUUCGGGAGCGGAGGGACAGGUGCUGCAUGGCUGUCGUCAGCUCGUGUCGUAAGAUGUUCGGUUAAGUCCGGCAACGAGCGCAACCCUUGUCCUUAGUUGCUACCAUUAAGUUGGGCACUCUGAGGAUACUGCCGGUGUCAAACCGGAGGAAGGCGGGGAUGACGUCAAGUCCUCAUGGCCCUUACGCCUAGGGCUACACACGUACUACAAUGGCAGACACAGAGGUCGCGAAACCGCGAGGUGGAGCUAAUCCCAAAAACGCUAGUCUCAGUCCGGAUUGGAGUCUGCAACUCGACUCCA